rnacentral:rRNA from 2 species
UCUCCUGAAGGAACGUUGAAGACGACGACGUUGAUAGGCCGGGUGUGUAAGCGCAGCGAUGCGUUGAGCUAACCGGUACUAAUGAACCGUGAGGCUUAACCUUAC